rnacentral:tRNA from 1 species
CGGUAGAACGGCGGACUGUUAAUCCGUAUGUCACUGGUUCGAGUCCAGUCAGAGGAGCCA